GCCUAGGGGCACGAACCGGAUUAGAUACCCGGGUAGUCCUAGGUGUAAACGCUGUGGACUUGGUGUCGGGAGUCCCUAGAGGGCCCCCGGUGCCGCAGCGAAGGUGUUAAGUCCACUGCCUGGGGAGUACGGUCGCAAGGCUGAAACUUAAAGGAAUUGGCGGGGGAGCACUGCAACGGGAGGAGCGUGCGGUUUAAUUGGAUUCAACGCCGGAAAACUCACCGGGGGCGACGAUUAUAUGAAGGCCAGGUUGAUGACCUUGCCUGAUUUUUCGAGAGGUGGUGCAUGGCCGCCGUCAGUUCGUACCGUAAGGCGUUCUGUUAAGUCAGAUAGCGAACGAGACCCUCAUUGCCAUUUGCUAGGCUCUUCUCAGGAAGGGUUGCACUAUGGCGAUACCGCCACUGCUGAAGUGGAGGAAGGAGGGGGCAACGGUAGGUCAGUAUGCCCCGAAUCUCCCGGGCUACACGCGCGCUACAAAGGGCAGGACAAUGGGCUUCGACGCCGAAAGGCGAAGGCAAUCCCGAAACCUGCUCGUACUUCGGAUUGAGGGCUGCAAUUCGCCCUCAUGAAGCUGGAAUCCGUAGUAAUCGCGGGUCAACAUCCCGCGGUGAAUAUGCCCCUGCUCCUUGCACACACCGCCCGUCAAACCACCUUAGUUGGGUCUGGACGAGGGCUCGCCUUCUGGCGCGCUCGAAUCUGGGUUCAGCGAGGAGGGUUAAGUCGUAACAAGGUAUCCGUAGGGGAACCUGCGGAUG
rnacentral:rRNA from 1 species